rnacentral:rRNA from 1 species
CAUGCAAGUCGAACGCUAUCUUUGACAGAGUGGCGCACGGGUGAGUAACACGUGGGAAUCUGCCCUUUUGUUCGGGACAACAGUUGGAAACGACUGCUAAUACCGGAUACGCCCUUCGGGGGAAAGGUCCGCCGCAGAAGGAGGAGCCCGCGUCCGAUUAGCUUGUUGGUAGGGUAAUGGCCUACCAAGGCAACGAUCGGUAGCUGGUCUGAGAGGAUGAUCAGCCACACUGGGACUGAGACACGGCCCAGACUCCUACGGGAGGCAGCAGUGGGGAAUAUUGGACAAUGGGGGCAACCCUGAUCCAGCAAUGCCGCGUGUGUGAUGAAGGCCUUAGGGUUGUAAAGCACUUUCACUGGUGAAGAUGACGACGGUAACCAGAGAAGAAGCCCCGGCUAACCUCGUGCCAGCAGCCGCGGUAAUACGAAGGGGGCGAGCGUUGUUCGGAAUUACUGGGCGUAAAGGGAGCGCAGGCGGUUCAUUUAGUUAGGCGUGAAAGCCCCGGGCUCAACCUGGGAACUGCGCUUAAUACUGAUGAACUAGAAAACAGAAGAGGGUAGUGGAAUUCCCAGUGUAGAGGUGAAAUUCGUAGAUAUUGGGAAGAACACCGGUGGCGAAAGCGGCUACCUGGUCUGAUUUUGACGCUGAGGCUCGAAAGCGUGGGGAGCAAGCAGGAUUAGAUACCCUGGUAGUCCACGCCGUAAACGAUGACAGCUAGGUGUCGGGGGGUCGCCCCUCGGUGCCGCCGCUAACGCAUUAAGCUGUCCGCCUGGGAAGUACGGUCGCAAGAUUAAAACUCAAAGGAAUUGAC